ensembl:snoRNA U3 Small nucleolar RNA U3
AAGACUUUACUCUCAAGGACUAUUCUUGAACUCAGUGCCUGGAGACCUUUGUCUGAUUGUGUCAAGCACUACAGUCACUGGGGGAGUGGGGGAUUCUCUCCUCAAAGUGAGGCCAGCACUUGGCCUUGCUUUGCUUUACUGCCAGUUGUCACUGAUGAAUGUGCUUCUCCUCCCGUGGGAGAGUAGGGGGAAAAGAGUGCCCUCUAAGUGG